UUAUUAUUUCCUUAUAAAUUAGAACAAAAUCAGCCUAUUUCUCAUUCAUGUGGCCGGCCAAAGAAGAACAAAGGAAGAAAAGAAAGAACAAGAACCCUAGGGUGAAAAUUCAAGAGAAAAAUUGGUGGAUUUCAAGUAAUUAAGCAAUCAAAGGUAAAAUUUCUUGAUUUUGACUUGUUCCAAUGCAUUAUUUUGCAUUUUUCAUAGUUGAAUCACAAGAUAUCAUGAAGGAUUCAUGGUUGACCGAAUUUAGAGAGAGAAGAUUUGAUGGUUGUUUUGGUUAGAUUUUAAGAUAUUCUAGUGUUUUUAGUUAGUGAUGUGUAGCAUGAAAAUCAAACAAGAAAAAUUCAUUUUCUCCCAUAACCCAUCAUUGGCCGAAUUCUCUAUGUAGAAUAUUGAUGAUGAUUUUGAUUUUAUUUCAAGUGAUUUGGUUAAGAAUUAGUGAUUUGUGGUGUGAGAAUCAAGUAGGAAAAAUCAUGGUGUUGAUGCACUCAAAAUGGUUGAAUUUUUCAAGAGAAAAUGUGAGGAUGAUUAUGCCACAUUUCAAGUUAUUUAAAUUGUAUUUAAUGAUUUGGAGUAUUGGGAGAAAAAUGGAGUUAAUUGGAGUUGAAUUUGACAUAUUGGUCAAUUAAUCGAGUGAUAGAUCGAAUUAGGCCAAUACCGAUUUAAUUAGGGACCCAAAUGAAUUUGUGUAGAAUACCGUGUUUAGACGGUAAUCCGAACAAUUUGCAUCCCAUUUCAUACAUUAGUAUAAAGCCUAAAUUGGUUUUCUAACAAUUUAGAACAAUAUAGUAAAUGGCUUAUUGUGCAUUAUGUUUAGGUGGUGAGCAUUCUGGCAAAAGUAAAGAGAUAGUACUCGAGGAAUCAAGAAUCGGAGUACUUGGAAUUCAACUCCCGAAAUAGUGAGUAACCUUACUAUCGUCUUAAUUAUCUAGAGUGGUUUUUAUCCAAUUUUGUGAAUUUCAUGAAAAAUGAAUUAAAUGAUUAAUUUUUUGAUUUUAUAAACAAAAUAUGAUUUAAUAAAAUGAUUUUAAUAAAUUGUCUUGAAAUUGAAUGAUGGUUUGAAAAUAGAGCAAUUAGAGACUAUUUUUGCGUGUUGUAAAUUCAUGAUUCUAAUUGAUUGGCUUAUGACAAUAUUGGCAUGAAUGGCUGAAUUGGUAUUUGUGUUGAAAUGUAUAAACUGUUGUUUGCCUUGAUAGGCUGGAUAAUGAUAAAAUUGCCAUGUCAUGCUGUUGAAUUUUAUUGUAUGGUAGGUUUAGCUUGCUGCAGUGGGCUGGUUCUGUGGACUAGCCUAUUAGAGGGGCACGGAACCUGGUCAUAUUAUUACCUCGGUUGGAGAGGCGAGUAAGGUAACUCCUGAGGUAUAACUUUAGAGUUCACUUCACGCCAAACCACCUUGUGAUGAUGAACUCCGCUAACGCCAAGGAACGACUGUGUUUUUAAAAUAAAAACAUGAUUUAUGCGUACAUAACUUUUUAACAGCCUUGGCGGACUCGGUUAGGAUAGCCCUCGAUCAAGGCAUCCCUAAUAACUGGGUAUAAAAAUGAUUUUUGACACGAGCCAAAGUUUUAAGAAAUUCAUAAGUCAUGUUGAUUACUCGAUUUAUAUAAAUUGAUUUUAUUUGAUUGAAACAAGUUGAAAGGUGAUGAAUUACAGUAUGUUAAAUUAUUUUAUCUAUCUCCAUUUACUCAGCUUUAGAUAUUUUAGAUGGUAUCUGUUUACUCACAAGGAUUAUAUAAUCUCACCACCCUCCUUUCCACCUAUAUCAGGCUCAGGAUAGUCGGUAGAUUGCUCAUUUCGUUGAGCGCUACAGUUGGACUUACAUCCUCAAAAAUAGUAGGUUUACCUCUUUUGAUACUUUUGGUCAUUCGUGGGCCCACGUGUCACUGUAAAUUAAAUUUUAUACUUUGGUUAUCUGUAUUACAAUAUGUAUGAAUUUAUUUAGCUUUUACGCUACAAAAAUUAUUUACAUGUAACUCUAUAAAUAUUGUUUUAGAAGAAAAUAGAAUAUUUUAUUAAAUAUUUUUAUUAUAUCCAAAUAAUCAUAAUUUCAUUUUAAAUGAAGGUUUUAGAUGUUUAAACUUAUUUUUGAUUAUGAAUUAUGAGUUUUAUACUCGCAUACUAAAUUUUUAGUGGAUUUCAAGAUUUUUGAGGAAAAAUGACCAAAAUGCCCUUGUGAGAAAAAAAUUGUUUUUCUAUUGUUUUAAUUUGGAAAAUGUUAUAAUCUCUCAAAACAUAAUUUUAGUGACUAAUAUUCAUAGGGGAAGCGAGAAAAACUGAUGUUAAGCCUUGCGAGGUUUCGAUUGACAUUCUGGGUAAUGAAUGUCUAUCGGGACGUCGCGACGGUUGUCACGGAUUCGAUGAGAGUUCCGGGUCGUGACAUAAUUAGAUUAAGCACAUAAAAAGUAUAUUGACUAUAUCAUACAAUAAAUUCCCGUAUCAUAAGAUACGUGUCGCGUAUCGUACGAUACGUUUUUGAUACUUGAUCAAAUGCGAUACAACUAUAGAUACAUAUCGUUUUCUACUAGUAUUGUUUCGUAUUGUACGAUACAUUAUUGCAUAUCAUGCAAUAAUGAUAACUAUGUCGGUGCAUCUUUUGUAUACAAAAUCAAGUUCACAUGUAACUUUCCUUUUUUUAAAAAGAAAAUCUUUACUAUUUUUUAAACUUCCUAAGGUUUAUUCUAUUUUUUAAAAAAAGGAAUUAUUAGUUAGAUUUUGACUUUUAUUUUAUUUCCCCCUCCCUAAUGUACUUAAUUCUUUCGAUUAUUAAUAAAAUGUUUAUAGGGUAGUUGGCCCUACACGAAUUUCCAACAUAAAAAAAAAGAUUUUGACUUUUAUUUAAUCAUUCAUAUGCAAUAUUGAAUAUUAUUUUUUUGCUUAAUAAAAUAAAUUCAUAUUUUUACACAAUUAUGUUACUAUUUACAUUUCAAUUACAUUAGUAUUUCUUUGAAUCUAGCUUACUUUUUUAAUGAUAAUUUUAAUUAAAAAAGUUUUUUUUACUAUUUUGACUAUUAAUUAAUUAUAAUAAAGUGUAAGUUGUCUUUAUCAACUCCCAAAGAGAUAUUACUAACUUCACCUUAGAAUGAAGAGGUUGAUGUAGAUUUUUCUACAAAAAACAAAAUCCAUAAAAAUUUAGAUUUAUUUCACAUUGAUUUUGAAUCAAAGAAAAACCGUGUCAUUUUGGAUUUUGAUUUGUUAACCUUGAAUUCAUUAUUGUUUUGAAAUUGUAAAAUUUUAAUUUUGUUUCUCAAACUGAAUUUAUAUAAAAUUUAUGUAUAUCUAAUUACCCAAUGUAGGAGAAAGCCCAAUUUUAUCAAAAUUUUAUAAAUGAAACUCUAUUCAACGCACACGUAAUCCUUACUCAUAUCCAUUAUGAAAGCUAAGAGACCAUUUUUGUCCCUUCUCCAAUGACCAAUAGAUGCAUUAACUCAUAUGCAAGAAAAUAGUCAUAAUUAAUAGGCCUUUGGGAAAAAAACAAUUUUCAAGGGAGAAAUGAUUUUUGACAAAACAAGUCUCAUUCUAUUGGCUAAUAUCUUUGUGAUUAUCUUAUACAAAACAUUACAAAGACUAAUUGGUUUUCAUUCAACUAUCAUUCUAGGCUUAAAUUUAUUAGAGAUCAGCACAAAAAAAGUACCAUUAAUCUCCAAUAGUAAAAAAUUAGGGUGAAACACGUUAAAUUUGUCACUUGGACAAUUAACUUGGUAAGAUUAAGAAAUACUUUUUUUGACUUAAAACCUCAAUUUCAUCCUUGAAAAUUCAUAAAUAAAAGUCUUGAAGGUUGUGCGAGAGAUUUAGAAUGAGAUUAGGCCUUAAAAGAAACAAUUUUCACAAGUUUGGAUUUUAUAAGUUGAUCCUAGUGCAUAAAAGGUCGAUCAUGUGAAGUAAAAAGUAGGGGGAGUCAAGGUUUCAGGCCAAGGAUCGACUAUAGGCCCUCUAUAGUAAAUCCAAGGAAAGAAAAAUGGGGAAAAUGCCAACCUACUGGUCCAAGAUCUACUAUAGACCCUCUAUAGUAGAUCUUGUAAAGGAAAAUCGAGUAAAAAAUGGACAUUCUAUCAAACCUACUUGUUUAGGAUCGAUAUAAACUCUCCAUAGUCAAUCCUAGGCUGCCCAAUCAGCUUAAAAUGAGUUUAAAAGCCCUAGAACCGAAACUUACUUCAUUUUUCACCUAUUCCUUUGUUCUCCAACCCAUUUUCUCUCAAAUUUCCUACCUUCCAAAACCUUCGAACUCCAUCAACAAAUCUUGGAUUCUAAUUGCUAAAUGUUGGGAUGAGCCCUACAGCUAAUUAGGAUUGGUUAAGGCUUGAUUCCAAUCAUGCAACAGUAUCAUUCAUGUUGAAUGAUUAGAGGUUUUUCUUCAUCAAUAAGACAUCAAUUAUAAUGAGUUAUAAGUCUAAUUGGAUGAAGACCAUGAGAUUAAUAUGCCUUGUAAGGGAACUGUAAUGGGUUGCACUUAUGAGAUCCCUAUGCAUCAAAGCAUAAUUUCAAAAUAUUUUUGGUCAAUGUACGAUUGAGACUGGGCAUUAAUGAUUCUUAAAGAGUGGUAUAUUUUAUGUUCCUUACUUUGGAAGUAAGCAAUCAAUCUCAUAGAUUGAAGUAUAGAGAUACUUGGAACUAGAAUAUAGGUGCUUGCCUAGGAGAGCAGGUUCACUGAACAUGACCCGCCAUGAAAAGUGCAUUUUGUAAUACACUUUAGUGUUUAUGCAACACUUCUCAUGUGUCAGCUGUGUAAAUACUCCCUAGACUUGAGACACUAAGUUAUCUUAUGUGAGGAGUGCUAUGCUUUGAUUUCAUCUCUACGAGUGCCUAACCAAGGAUGCCAAAAUAAGAUGCUUUUGGGUAUAGUAUGAAGCAUGUGAAGGCAAAUGAGUGGUCAAGAUAGGAAUCAACACCUCAAGUGUUUUAGAGGACAUAUCUUAUUAGUUCUUGGUUAACAUUAACUUAUUCAAGUCACUAGUCAAGGCGACAUGGAGAUUAUGAAAAAAGGUUUCAUAACUCUCUAUAAAGCUAAUGCUAUAACUACAAGAACGAAUAUGAAGGUCAAUAAGAGUAGACACUGUACCAAGCUUUUAUUAUCUCUGGGAUAUAUGAUGAGGGAAUGAAUUAUAUUGAUAGAUUAUACACUGAAAGGUUGUCAAAGAACCCUUUGACUCUCUUAACAAUUGGAUGGCCAUGAUGCAUUGCUAAAUGCCAAUCUUGGUCUAUGGAAUUGAUUCUAAAUUAAUUGAUUGAAAUUUAUAUUAAUCAAUUAAGUUAUUAAUUAAUUCUAUUGCCAACAUGUUAGGAACCUAAUGGUUCACACACAAUGAUUGCAUUUGAAUUAAAUUGGGAGAGUGAUGAUUUAAGUUAGACUUAAAUCACAUGCUAGGUAAUUAACUUCUAUAAACUUAAUUAACAGAGUUUAAUUAAGUUUUAGGCAUAAUUAUAAAUAGUUAUAAUUAUAAGACCUUGAUUGCAAAAUAUAAAGGAAAUUAAUUUUGAUUUUAAUUUUCAAGGACUUAAUUAAAAGAGUUUAAUUAGGUAAUGGGCCCAAUAUUAUAAUGUGUUAUAAUAUUGAGGGCUUAAUUGCAAAACUGAAGUUAUUUUAACCUAACUAUAUAUGUUACCUUUUAACUAUUUUCCAUAUGAUAGUUUUUCACAAUUGAAGAAAACUUAGUUUUUGUCAGAAAAAGAAAAGUGUUUUCUCUCUUUGCCACCAUCCCUUUGUGUGAAAAAGAAAAUUACUUAUGACGCAAUUUUCAAGAGAGGUUUGGCUAAGAUUGUGAAAAGAAAGAAAAGAACAAUUGUUGUCCUCUUUGCUAGCACAAAGUAUAGUUAAAAACUCCCUCCUUUGUUGAAGGUUCAAGUGCAAUCAUGUGUACUACUAUUGAAGGCCAAGCAUUUGAUUGGCUAGGGUUUUUGCUCUUCGUGGUGUUCGCGAGAUUGCUUUGGAAGUGCCAUUGCGAUUAUGAAAUUACUUGGCAAGGUAACUUUUUGAAUAAUAAUUUAUUUUGAGCUUUUAUGUGUUAAAUAUCACCAAGGCGAUCCAUGGGUGGAGGUAUGUUUUGAUUGUUUAGUUAUAAAGUUUUAAUUUUCUUUCCGCUGUGUAUUUUAAGCAUGCCAUCUAUAGCCAAACCCAUUACUAAAGGUAAGGAUUUUCACUCCCAAAAGCUUGCCUGUUAUGGAUUUUGUUUCUCUCUCUAAAAGCUAGAAAUUUUUCUAAGUUUUCAAGAUUUGGCUAGAUCUCUCCACUAAAAGCUCACCAAGGAGGAAAAAUAGGUAAAAUAAGUUGUUACUUAAUGGAUAUGAGGUUUGGAUGAAAGUUUGGUGGAAAUAAUUGGAAAUAAAUGAAGAUUAAAUGGUUAGAAGUGGGUAUUUGAAGUAUUUCAAAAUUAUUAGGUUUUUUUAAGAAUAUUGAUGAUUAAAUUUCAUUUUUUUGGGACCUUGAGAGUAUUGAUGAUUGAAUAUCAUUUUUAGGUGUUAUUGGAGUAAUUUGAGCUUGCUGUAGAAGCCAAGCUUUCGAUGAAAGGUGCUAAAUGGAAAAAGCACGCUUCAAGAGGGGGUAGAUAUGGCAUUUUUAAUUAUUUUAGUAUAAGUAAGCAUGCCUACUCUACAACCUCGCAUGAAAACGUAUUUUGGUGAAGUUUGUGAUGUGAAAAAUGAUUUCAAGCUUGUUUUAAGAAAGCUAGAUAAAAUAUGUAAAUAAGUUAUCAUGUAUUUAGUUUUGAGCAUGGGGAACAAGCCUUCCAAGUGUUUGAUACCUUUAAGAAAACCCAUGUUUGUUUGUGACUAGUUAAUGAUCAAGAAUAUACUUGCUUGAGAUGAACCUUGUUCACUUGCAUUUAUUUUAUUUGAAUCUUUGUCCUUAGAUGGCAAGUGGAUUUAUUUAUUCAUUUGUAAAUGAAUGUUUAGAUAUUUGGAAUCAUA
rnacentral:lncRNA from 1 species